rnacentral:rRNA from 1 species
AUUGAACGCUGGCGGCAUGCCUUACACAUGCAAGUCGAACGGCAGCACGGGUGCUUGCACCUGGUGGCGAGUGGCGAACGGGUGAGUGAUACAUCGGAACAUGUCCUGUAGUGGGGGAUAGCCCGGCGAAAGCCGGAUUAAUACCGCAUACGAUCUACGGAUGAAAGCGGGGGACCUUCGGGCCUCGCGCUAUAGGGUUGGCCGAUAGCUGAUUAGCUAGUUGGUGGGGUAAAGGCCUACCAAGGCGACGAUCAGUAGCUGGUCUGAGAGGACGACCAGCCACACUGGGACUGAGACACGGCCCAGACUCCUACGGGAGGCAGCAGUGGGGAAUUUUGGACAAUGGGCGAAAGCCUGAUCCAGCAAUGCCGCGUGUGUGAAGAAGGCCUUCGGGUUGUAAAGCACUUUUGUCCGGAAAGAAAUCCUUGGCUCUAAUACAGUCGGGGGAUGACGGUACCGGAAGAAUAAGCACCGGCUAACUACGUG